CCCACCUCAGCCUCCCUGUGCUGGUAUUACAGGGAUGAGCCACCAUGCCCAGCCAGAUCUCAGCCUCUUAAUCAGCUUGCUGUCCUGCCUCCACACAGGAUUCAGGGAACUGAAGAUAGUGCUUGACUUUCGCAUGCAAUAGGGGUGCUGGCGCAGCUCCUGCCAGCUCGCAGUGCCAGCUAUGCACACGUCUUCCCAACUACCCAUCAGCCAGGGUAGGGGUGUCAACAGAUGCUACAUUUAGGGAUUCUCCCCGCACCGAGUCAGUCACAGUACUGUCCAUGGAGAACCCCCCAGGAAGUCCAGACACAUCUGUCAGUUAAUCCCCAUGGCAGGAUGGUUUUGCUGAUGCAGUCUGCUAAACGGGGACAUUGAGGAACCAGGUAUAGAGGCUUUCUUACAUGACUAGUGGUGAAGUUCAGGUACAAAUGGGUCCUCCUGACAGUGGGAAGACAGCUUUCACUAGCAAACCACGCUCACUGCACACUAGGUAGUUCUGAAUGCCAUGUCUCCAAUAGCCCUUCUCAUGCUGGGAAUUUGCUGGUGCUGUUUAUCUGUGUGGCCUUGUCCCGGUGAGCAGGCCUAACUGAGUAUCACGGAGCCUAAAAGAUGAGAAGCCUGCACAGCCACCUGCCUCCCACCUGACAUUUGGCCCAAGGCAGUGGGCGUCACCCAGUCUUAGCAUCUAGCGUGCCCUUGCCAGUCGCCAGGCUCCUUCCUGUUUUGAGCCUGAAUCCAUUUACCUGCAGCUUCCACUCCUUGGACGUGGCCCAGCCUUCCCCAGAAUAAGGCACUGCCCUUUUCUACACCAUCACUUUGAAACUGCCUGGGACACUCACUGUGCCCUCGAUUCCCACUCACCCUCGAGGCUGUGGCCAAUCUGAGUGGCUUUGUACCCCAGCUCCCUGUGGCUCACCCCAAAUGCUGCCUCUCUGGGACACCUCUUGGUGCCAUUGCUGUAUGUCCUUUCCUCACAGCCGUUUGGUUCCACUGCCGUCGCUGUCCUGCCUGUCUCCCUGCUGCGACGCAUGCCAUGGAAAGGUGGUGACAGUCUGUUAGCGCCUAGCGUGGUGCCCAGUUCUCCAUGAGUAUUUGUUGAAUGUGUGGCCAUACCCAGUGGUGAGUCAGAGAGGCCAGGCCCCUCCCUCAAGGAAGUAAUGACAGACUGAGACAAGUGCCAUAAGCACAGUGCUGUGAUUUUUUGGGGGGCAACACUCUAGACGGAGCGGUCAGGGGAGGCCUCCCUUGAGCUAAGACCUGGAGCUAAUGAGUAAGUAGCUGGUGGAGAAGGGAUGGCCGGAGGGACCAGCCAGAAGGAAUCCCUGAGGCAAAAGGAGCUUGUCCCAGGAGAGGAACAGAAAAGAGCCCAGCACAGAGUAGAGCAGUGAAGGGGGCGUGGUGCGUGGGCCCUGGGAAGAGGUAUGACUACCUUGCAAGUGCAGGGGAGGCUGCUGAAGGGUGUAGCGGGCAGGCGGCCUGAUCCUCCUUCUGCAGGAGUGGGGCGAGCUCUUCUCUCUUGCCUGACUGGCCCGUGGGGAAUGGGCAGAGGCAACCAAGGACCCCCUGGCACCUCGGCCUCUCCUCUCAGGCCCAGCCUCCCCUCCCCAGGCAUCUCGGCCAGACUCUCCCCUUUCCCUGGGCCCAACACCAACCUUACACCUCAGUGUGACUUUCAGUCCCUCUUUAAAAGCUGUAUAUUCAUUUUCCAUGGCUGUGGUAACGAAUUGCCACAAAUGUGGUGGUUUAAACCAACACCAACGUGUGAUCUUGCAAUUCUACAGGUCAGAAAUCCCAUGGACUUGCUGCAGCUAUUGAAGUGUCUGCAGGGCUGAGUUCCUUUCUGGAGGCUCUAGGGGAGAAGCUGUUUCCUUGCCUUUCCAGCUUCUAGCAGCUGCUGCAUUCCUGGGUUCAUGGCCCCUUCCUCCAUGUUCAGAGCCAGUAAUGACACGUCCCUCACACCCUUCUCCCUUCAGCUGGGAAAGGUUCCUUAAUUUUAAGCAUGUGUGUGAUUAGAUUGGGCCCACCUGGGUAGUCCUGGCUACUUGUCCCAUCUCCAGCUCCUUAUCCUAACUCAGCUCCACAAAGUCCCCUUGCCAGGUGAAGUAACAUAUCACAGGUAACAUGGAUUAGGACAUGGACAUCUUUGGGGGCCAUUAUCCUGCCCACCACAGGACUCCUAGAUCUUAAAGGAUCAAUCAAUCAAACACAAUGUGUGAACUGUCAGGAUGUAGAUUCAAAAACUGACUUUAAAGGACAUUGUUGAGACUAUCAGGGAAAUGUUCACGUGGGUAUUUAGAUGAUAUGAAGGACUUAGAGUUGAUAUUAUUAGGUGUGUUAAUGGGGAGAUACAUGUGGAGCACGCCCUGUGGAGAGGAAAGCCAACCAGGGCAAGAUGCUGGCUCUGAGAACAGAGAGAACAGAAUAAGACCCCUGUCUGCAAGCACCUGUCUGCCUGGGGGAACUUCAGAUAGAAGUGGAUGGUCAUCAGCUGAGGAAUAUUUUUUUGAGGAUGUUCUGUAGAUACCCUGUGGAGAUUUCAAAGAGGGAAGUGGCCCUACCAGCCAAGGGUUGACCAGCUACCUGGGAGAUAACACGUAAACACAUCAAAGGCGAUUCACAGUUUAGAGAGGCAAAUGGCAAGCCCUGUUAGGAACCCAAAGGGAGACAGGCUGGGAAUUAGGAGCAUCUACCUGGAGAAGCAGAAAAGACUUCAGAGGCAAAGGUUUGGAGACAGUGGGCAGACCAACCUCAGCAGGGCAGAAGGUCACAGGGUAUCUCCACACUAGCUGGCCAGGGAGCUUGCUGGGGACUGGUCUCCUGGGUUGGGGGCGUCACACUCUAGGAAAUGGACUGGCACUCAGUGAGGCUGUGGGAUGGAAUGGGGCCAGCCAAUGGGGUCCUUGAACGCUGGGCCAAAGAUAUGGAAUGUGAUUUUAGGGCCGGGAGUUGCUAAUGGCUUUUGAUUGAGAGAGUGGCUUAAUGAUAAUUUUCUCUUAGGAAGAUCAGUGAGAGAGCAACAGGCUGAAGGAAUGAAGAAAAAUACAAAGGAAAUUGAACUUACAUUAAAAUGGAGUGAGAAAGGGAGUGUAAAGAAUUUCAUGACUGGAUGGUGGACUCAUGAGAGAGCAAAAGAGAGAAAGAUGUGUAAUGAAAGCCUUCAUUUAUUAAACACCACUAUGGUCAAGGCAUUCGCCUCUGAAAUAAUCCGUUGUAUUCAUGUAGUCUUCAACUUACAAAUGAUGAAAAAGAGGGUCAGAGAGAUAAAAUGACUUACGUAAGGACACACAGCUGGUCUGCAGUGGAGGUGGAGUUUUAAUCCAGGUCUAACAGACUCCACAUGCCAAGCACUCUCCCUUGGUCAGGUGACAGCGAGAGUCUAUUCAUUUUCUCUUGCUGCCUUAACAAAUUGCCACAGACCUAGUGGCUUAAAACAACACAAUUGUAUGAUCUUGGAGUUCUGUAGGCCAGAUGUCAGACAAGGGUCUCACUGGGCUAAAAUCAGGCAUCAGCAGUGCAUUUUUGGAGGUUCCAGGGGAGAAUCCACCUCCUUCCCUUUUUCAGCUUCUAGAGGCCACUCACAUUCCUUAACUCAACACAAGGAAUGUGAGUGACCUCUCGAAGCUGGAAGCCCCGUUCCUCCAUCUUCAAAACCAGCAUCAUUGCCUUUCUUGGACCUUUUGUCCUUAGCCACUUCUUUCUUUCUGACCACAGCCAGGAAAUGUUCUGUGAUUUAAAGGACUUGUGUCAUUUGAAGCAGACGCCCGGAGAACCCAGGCUAACCUUCCUACCUCAGCGUUCAUACCCUCAUCUCAUGUGCAGAGUCCCUUUUGCAAUGGGAGGUAGUGUGUUCAUAGGUCCCGAGGAUUAGGAUGUGGGCAUCUGGGGGGCUGCGAUGCUGCCCACCACACAGAUGAGCCUGCUGUGUGGACAUGUACCUCGGCAGCAGAUGGGUGUACCCAUAGCUCUCUUUCAGUAAGCCUGUGACAAAGGGAACUUUGUGUUGAAU